rnacentral:rRNA from 1 species
AGUGAACGCUGGCGGUAGGCCUAACACAUGCAAGUCGAACGGCAGCACAGUAAGAGCUUGCUCUUACGGGUGGCGAGUGGCGGACGGGUGAGGAAUACAUCGGAAUCUACUUUUUCGUGGGGGAUAACGUAGGGAAACUUACGCUAAUACCGCAUACGACCUACGGGUGAAAGCGGGGGAUCUUCGGACCUUGCGCGAUUGAAUGAGCCGAUGUCGGAUUAGCUAGUUGGCGGGGUAAAGGCCCACCAAGGCGACGAUCCGUAGCUGGUCUGAGAGGAUGAUCAGCCCCACUGGAACUGAGACACGGUCCAGACUCCUACGGGAGGCAGCAGUGGGGAAUAUUGGACAAUGGGCGCAAGCCUGAUCCAGCCAUACCGCGUGGGUGAAGAAGGCCUUCGGGUUGUAAAGCCCUUUUGUUGGGAAAGAAAAGCAGCAGGUUAAUACCCCGCUGUUCUGACGGUACCCAAAGAAUAAGCACCGGCUAACUUCGUG